UCAUGAUAUCUUUAAAAACAACGAGGGGGGACCAUGUCGAAAAAAAACAAUAAAAGGGAGAUAACUUCUAAAGGGGAUGAUGAAAUCCUACACAGCCUCAUCUGGUAAUACUUCAUGAUGAAGUCUACCGAUGGUCCAUAUUUGGUCUUGAUAACUCCAAUAGAAACGAGGGGAGGCCAUGUCAAACAAAUGCUGGAUGAAAAAAAAAAAAAAAAAAAAAAACAUGAGAAAAACAAUAAGGUCUUUCCUCGCGUAGAGGAAAGACCUUAAAUA
rnacentral:lncRNA from 1 species